UACGUAGGGACCGAGCGUUGUCCGGAAUCAUUGGGCGUAAAGAGCGUGUAGGCGGCCAAUUAAGUCCUGCGUGAAAUCUCGGGGCUCAACCCCGAGCGGUCGUGGGAAACUGGUUGGCUAGAGUGCGGGAGAGGAGAGUGGAAUUCCUGGUGUAGCGGUGAAAUGCGCAGAUAUCAGGAAGAACACCCGUGGCGAAGGCGGCUCUCUGGAACGCAACUGACGCUGAGACGCGAAAGCGUGGGGAGCGAACAGG
rnacentral:rRNA from 1 species